GAUGAAGAACGUAGCGAAAUGCGAUAACUAGUGUGAAUUGCAGAAUUCCGUGAAUCAUCGAGUCUUUGAACGCACAUUGCGCCCCCUGGUAUUCCGGGGGGCAUGCCUGUCCGAGCGUCAUUGCUGCCCAUCAAGCACGGCUUGUGUGUUGGGUCGUCGUCCCCUCUCCGGGGGGGACGGGCCCCAAAGGCAGCGGCGGCACCGCGUCCGAUCCUCGAGCGUAUGGGGCUUUGUCACCCGCUCUGUAGGCCCGGCCGGCGCUUGCCGAACGCAAAUCAAUCGUUUUCCAGGUUGACCUAGGAUCAGGUAGGGAUACCCGCUGAACUUAAGCAUAUCAAUAAGCGGAGGA
rnacentral:misc_RNA from 1 species